CCUACGGGAGGCAGCAGUGGGGAAUAUUGGACAAUGGGCGCAAGCCUGAUCCAGCAAUGCCGCGUGUGUGAAGAAGGCCUGCGGGUUGUAAAGCACUUUCGGUUGGGAAGAAAAGACCAGAAUUAAUACCUCUGGGACUUGACACUACCUUCAUAAGAAGCACCGGCUAACUCCGUGCCAGCAGCCGCGGUAAUACGGAGGGUGCGAGCGUUAAUCGGAAUUACUGGGCGUAAAGCGCGCGUAUGUGGUCUUGUAAGUCGGAUGUGAAAGCCCCGAGCUUAACUUGGGAACGGCAUUCGAUACUGCCUGACUAGAGUAUGGGAGAGGAGAGCGGAAUUCCCGGUGUAGCGGUGAAAUGCGUAGAUAUCGGGAGGAACAUCAGUGGCGAAGGCGGCUCUCUGGACUAAUACUGACACUGAGGCGCGAAAGCGUGGGUAGCAAACAGGAUUAGAUACCCUGGUAGUCCACGCCCUAAACGAUGUCAACUAGCCGUUGGGUUCAUUUAAGAAUUUAGUGGCGCAGCUAACGCGAUAAGUUGACCGCCUGGGGAGUACGGCCGCAAGGUUAAAACUCAAAGGAAUUGACGG
rnacentral:rRNA from 1 species